rnacentral:rRNA from 1 species
GAUGAACGCUGGCGGCGUGCCUAAUACAUGCAAGUCGAGCGAACGGACGAGAUGCUUGUUUCACUGAUGUUAGCGGCGGACGGGUGAGUAACACGUGGAUAACCUACCUAUAAGACUGGGAUAACUUCUGGAAACCGGUGCUAAUACCGGAUAAUAUUUUUAACCACAUGGUUUAAGUGUGAAAGAUGCUCUUGCUGUCCCCUAUAGAUGUAUCCGCGCUGCAUUAGCUAGUUGUUAAGGUAAGGGCUUACCAAGGCAACGAUGCUUAGCCGACCUGAGAGGGUGAUGGCCAACACUGGAACUGGGACCGGGUCAAGACUCCUCGGGAAGGAAGAAGAAGGGAACUUUGGGAAAUGAGGAAAGGCUGACCGGGGCAACGCGGCGUAAGUGAGGAGGGUCUUGGGACCGAAAAACCUUGUGAUAGGGGAGGACGAUAGGUGGAGGGAAAAGCGCAUCUAGUGACGGUACCUACUCAGAAAGCCACGGCUAACUACGUG